GACCGUAAAAUUUCUGUGCUUUCUUAAUACAGCCUUUGUGAUGCAGAGCUUUGAGUACUUGGAGGGUGCUUCAGAACUGGGGACUCCGAGACCAUCUCUGGCAGCCUCUUGUGAGCAUCUGAGCCAACAUCUUGGUUGCAUUUUCUCCACGUUGGAGUGACUCUUCUUGGGCAUGCCAGCUUCUUCUUUGAGUCUGUAAUGCAUUCCUGACCAAAUACCCCUCACAUGUGCCCUUCCAUGUGAACAGAAACGCCUCUCCCUCUGAGGUGAAAAUGGUGCUGUCAACACCCUCCUCAGAGGGCACAUGCCUUGUGAGUGAGAGUGAUGGAGCUCCGCCAGCAGCCAUGCUCUCCACCCUCCUCACGGGGAAAGGCUGCUCUUUACUGGCCAGCCCUCUGGAAAUGUCCCUCUGAGUCACUCUUAAUAAGACAGGAGAAAGCAAUUUCCUGCUUUCACGCCUUCCCUUUUUUCUUUUCUCUCUUCCUUCCUUCUUCCGUUCCUCUUCCUUCCCUCCCUCUUGACCUUCCUCUCUCCCUCCCUUCUUUCCUUCCUUCCUGUGGCUCUCCUUUGUGAGUGACCUACCUCCGCUUCCUACUCUGUGACUUUGCACAUUCAAUCAUUGCCUGGCUCCACCAGCAGUAUAUAAGGUGAAAGAGGAUCCUGCCAGCUGUUCUAGGCCCAGAGGACACCUCUCUCUCUCUGUCACACACACACACACACACACACACACACACACACACACACACACACACUCUCUCUCUCUCUCCCUCUCACACACACACACACCCACUCAUUGAUGGGGUAAUAGGAUCAAGAGGUAGCUUUGCAUCAUCAAAAAGAAGUCAGUCAUUCUAGCCUGGAGCUUUAGAAGACGAAGUAAAAAAGAAGUCAGACAGUCCUAGCUUUGGAUCCUGGCCCAGCCACUUACUAGGUGGGAGACCUUGGAUGAGGAAACUGAGGCUGAAACAGGCAAUUAAUUUGUGCAGGUGGCACGUUUACUACAUGGUGGAACCAGGAUCUGAACUCAAAUUUGUCUGUGAAUGUUUUCAGAAUAUUCACCUACAUGUUGCCCAAAGUCAAGGCUGCCCUGGGGCAGUGUGUAUACCUGAAUGACAAUCAGUACAGGCACUGAGGGAAGGGAGAACCAAUGCUGGAGAGGCAAGCAUAACUGCCACUGUUAACUUUGUGACCAAACUUCAUGUCUUGUGGCCUAAAGGACAAUCGUAUCCCUUCUGGGGGAAUUUCCCCACCUCCAUGUUGAAGCCAAGGAUGACUAGUACUCCAUGGAAAAGAGGUCAACAUGAUAACCAGGAGAUGUGGUCAUGGGGAUUAAAAGGUUCGAAGCUGUUCCAGAAAGGAUGUCAUUGAUGUGGAAUACAGGAGCGAGUCCAGCGGAUUCGUGGAAAUGGAUGGAGACUGCUGAGUUGAGAGACUGAGAAGUGGAGGUACCUAGGAAGGUCCUCCCUGAAAAUACAUCGGGUUGUAAAACCUGGAAAGAAAUACCUCCAUUUGUCAGGCACUCACAGGGCGCUGUCCUCCGGCAGCUCCCAUGUUGAGCGCCCAGGGCAGCGACCAGACCGCGUCCUGUCCUCCUGCACGGGGCCAGCACUGGAUGGUCCCGCGACACAUAGUGUCUGCAGCUUUAGAGGCCUCCCCAGGAGUGCUACCGCGGUCAUUUCUGCCCAGCAGUAAAAUAACACCCAAUCAGCGAGCCGCCAGCUGCAAACUGUUCCGACCUACUCCUCCCUCCCCGGCUUAAUUCCCACCUAUACCAAAGUGGCCCCACGCGGGCAGAAGCGAAAGACGGAAAUGAGGGGAGGCCAACUACUCGAGAUCUGCGCCCGAAGCAGAUUUUCCACGCGCUCAGAGCAGGGUCGGGGAAAGGCCCACUUGGGGCUUCUGAGAGAGAGGGAAGGGCAGGGAAAGGGCUGCCCCCAAGCAAGACACAGUUGGGUUAACAACUGAGUCUUUGCCUCGUUGACAAAGGAUAAUGAGGGACUCGCGCCAGGCUGGCUUGAACUGACUAGAGAAAAGCGACUUCUGUAAUUCAGGGCCCUCCGCGUGCGAAGGAAACUUUGGCAAAGCAGAAAGGCAUGCAGUCUCCAGGCGGAAAAACGUGAACCAUGGGACAUGAUGGGCUCCAGGGCCGUGGAUGCAGUUGCCCGAGGCCCCAGGGCCGCCCCCGGAAGGCCGGGACUGCCAGGGACGCGGCGUGGGGGUGCUGACUGCCGCUCCAGGCCUCGGGGUUCACGCGCUCCAGCAGCAUCCGCUCACCCCGCUCCCCGCCCACUUCCAUGAUCACGAGGGGGCAAGGCUAGCCAAUCCGGGGUGGCCACCGCCCGGCCCUGCGAGGACUCGAGGAGCACUGGGAAACUGCGCGGUGCCUAGAGGUACAAAGAACAGGUCCUGGGAGGGUAGUAGGAGGGGACUCAGCACAGCCUAUGUCAGUUUGUCAACAAGGAUUUGCUGAGAAGUCGCACUGUGCUCAGCAUAGCGGCACUGCCUACCUAAUGGGCUUUGGGGCAUAGACAGUGAAUAACCUGGCAGUGAUAAUAGUGUGCUGAAAGAAAGGCCAGCCCCAACAGCCACUACAGGAACCUCAGAAAGGAGGGGGCGUCCCUGUUAGUGGCUGAUACUGGAUUUCUCAUUGUGUUCGUGGCUGGCGCCAAGCCAGAGAUCAUAAUGUAGAACAAAUAAAUGUGAAGUUUCUUACAUCCAAGUGGCCAGGGAAAACCUAUACUAAUUACAUGGUACAAACCCGCUGUGAUCAUGUGCUAAAUUGGGUGGCAGUCAGAGUACAGCUGUCGAGAUAUCUCUGAGGGCCAGAGUGAUCAGGAAAAGCUUUGUGGAAGAGGAAGAACUGGAGUUAGGUGCUGAAUGACGGGCAGGAUAUGGACAAGCAGAGGAAAGUGGGAAGGCGUUCCAGGAGGGAAGGGGCAGCAUAGCCAAAGCCCGGGGGAUGAGCAUGGUGGGUUUAUGGGGUUUUAGAGGGAUUAGCCUGUUUGGAGUGUAGCAGGUGCUCUGAAGAGCAUGGGACAGAAGAGAGCACAGGCAGCUGGAGUGUAGAGAUGGGGGCUAAUUGCAGAAUCCCACAGUGCCUAGGAAGGUCUCAGCUGUCAAGGUCUUCUCCUGAGACUCAUUCUCAGCUCCUUUUGGGGUUUAGGAAAGGUCUUUCAUGAGAGUUCCAAACAUUUUAGUUACUGUUUAAUUCCUUCUCACUGAAUCCCCAUGGAAGGGGGCAAAAAGCAAGUGCUACUCCUCCGAGGUACUAAAACCCUGGUGCUGAGGAUGAGGCUGCUCCAGAGGGACCUCUGAGAGAGAGAGAGAGAUGGUAUCUUAUGAGUUUCAUAAGUCUUUUAGGCAAGAAAGCAGGAGGAGAUACUGAAGGGACCCCCUAAGGAAGCAGAAAAGCUUUACCUUCUCCUCUGCAAGAGGCAUCAGGAUUCCCUUUGAAAACAGAGCAGAGGACAGCGCAGAAAAAUUCAAGAAUGUUUGCUCUCACCACUUCUAUUUAGCUUUAUACAGGAGAUCCUAGCCAGUGCAAAAGGGCAAGAAAAGACAUUAAAGACAUGCAGACUGAAGCAGGAAGAAGUAAAACUGUCCUUAUUACAGGUGGCAUGAUUUUGUAUGUAGAAAAGCCUAAGAAAUCUACAAAAAUCUACUGGAACGAAUAAGCAAACUUAGUAAGGUUGCAGGAUACACUAUAACAAACUGUCCAAAAAUGAAGUUAAGAAAACAAUUCCACUCAUAAUAGCAUAAAAAGAAUAAAAUACUUAGGAAUAAUUUUAACAAAAGAAGUGUAAGACCUAUGUACUGAAAACCUUAAAACAUUGCUGAGAAAAUUUUAAAAAGAUCUAAACAAAUGGAAAGACACACAAUGUUCAUGGAUCGGAAGAUUCAAUAUUGUUAAGAUAGUAAUUGUCCCCAAAUUAAACUAUAGUUUCAGCUCAACCCAUAUCAAAAUAGGUUGUUUUUUGUAGGACUUGACAAGCUGAUACUAAAAUUUAUAUGAAAAUGCAAAGGAUCUAGAGAAAUCAAAACAACUUUGAAAAAGAACAAAGUUGGAGGAUUUAAAAAAUAAAGCUACAGUGAUCAAAACAGUGUGGUAUUGACUUAAAGAUAGGCAUACAUCCAUAGAACAGAGCAUAUUCCAGAAAUAAACUCUUACAUUUAUGGUCUAUUGAUUUUUGACAAGGGUGUCAAGGUAAUUCAAUAGUCAUCAAUAAUUGAUGCUGGAGCAAUGGAUAUUCCUGUGCAAAAAAAAAAAUUAACUUACAUUCUUACCUCACAACAACCAUAUGCAAAAAUUAACUAAAAAUGAAUCACAGCCUAAAUGUAAGAGUUAAACUAUAAAAUUCCUAGAAGAAAUCACAGGAGAAACAUGGAUUAGGGCAAAGGCUUCUUAGAUGUGAUACCAAAAACAUGAUCCUUAAAAAAAUUAAUAAAUUCAACUUUAUCAGAAUUUAACUUUUGUUUUUCAGAAGAUACCAUUGAGAAAAUGGAAAGGCAAGCCACAGACUUGAAUAAAAUAUUUGCAAAUCAUAUACCUGAUAAGGUAUUUAUAUUCAGAAAUAUAAAGAAUUCAAUAAGACAAACUGAUUUUUUUAAUGAGCAAGAUUUGAAUAUAUAUUGCACCAAAGCAGACAUAUGAAUGGUGAAUAAGCAUAUAAAAAGAUGUUCAACAUCAUUACUCAUUAGAGAAAUUCAAAUUAAAACUAUAAUGAACUAUUAAUACCCACUGACAAUAUCAAGUGUCAGCAAGGAUGUGGCAAAAUUGAAACCAUAGAAUGGUACAGCUAAUUUAGAUAAUUGUUUGGAAGUUUCUCAAAAUGUUAAAUAUAUUUGCUAUAUGACCCAGCAAUUAAACUCCUAAAUAUCUACCCAAGAGAAAUGAAGACACAGAUUCACAUAAAGACUUAUAUGCAAAUGUUCAUAGCCAUGUUAUACAUACUAGCCCAAGCUGGAAAUAAUCCAAAUGUCCUUUAGCUGGUGUAUAAACAAAAUGUGGUAUAUUCAUACAAUGGACUACUACUUGGCAAUAAAAAGGAAUGAACUACGGAUACGUGCAACAAUAUGGAUGAAUUUCAAAAACAUGCUAAGUAGAAAAAGUCAGAUAAAAAAUGUUUUGUAUAAUUUCACUUAUGUGAAAUUUCUAGAAAAGGCAAAAUAUAGAAGUAUUCUAAAGUUGAAUUAUUAUUAUAAUUGUGACUAUUUUACAAGUGUAUAAAUUUACUUAAAAUCAAACUGUACCCUUAUAAUAGGUAAAUUUUAUGGUAUAUAAAUUAUACUUCAAUAAAGCUGUUAAAACAAAGGACA